rnacentral:lncRNA from 1 species
AUUUAUGGAUCCAGACUUUUGAUUUGUAAAACACCGUGUCAGGGAGGCCGUCUAGUAACCCACUGGGCAGAUUCCGCAGAGAGCCUCCGUGGAAAGCUCUCGCACGCAGCCCAUGAACGGCUCCAGAGCAAAGGAGGGACCGUGAAGGAAGCGGGAGGUGAUGGGUACGGAGGUGGCUGUGGCCUGGGCCUUUAGUUAUGCUGGCACCAACCUUCACGCUUGCAGUUGCGUGUUCUCCGGGCCUUCCUUGGAUUAUGUUCUAAAGAUGUGUUUUAACGGCUACCGUACAGAGCGAGAUGAGGAAGCAAUGGAGACUCAUCGUGACAGGCAAAGGGCACAGAGGUAUUUUAUUCACAAGAAGGUUCAAGGCGUUUCCCAUCGCAAGAAGGAUUAACUUACCGGAGGAUUCUGGGACUGCAGAUGAACACUGCGGCAAAAUCCUAAAUUCGUCGAAAAAAAAUCAUUUCUGGACUCCAGCUGCUAAAAAUAAUAGAAUUAUAGAAAAUCAUGAGGGAGAUGAAAACAAGCCAUUUUCACAUCCCAAAGAGUUUGGGGUGGGGGUGAUCCUUUUCAGUGAUGUGACCCUCACCUGCCACCAAGGGGGAAGGCUUUAGGGAGAGCUGCUGCAGCCAGACCACAAGCUUGUGCCAAAGCCACUCUGAAUCCGAGUAGCACCAGCAGGGGCCUGGAAGAAGGUCGCGAGAAGCACUUGGCAAGAUGGCUCAGCAGGUAAAGGUACUUGCUGCCAAAUCUGACAACCUGGAUUGGGUCCUGGGACUCACACGGAGGAAGAAGUGAACAGGUGCCUCUGGAUGGUCCUCUCACCUUUACCACAUGCCUUGGCUGGCACAUGUCCAUCUACCAACCCAAAGUAUAAGUAGAAAGUGUAAAAAGAAUCACUUUCCUACACUCCAACUAAUAAAAAGGAUCCAGUGUUUUAGAAU